UGGGGUGUAGCCCAGUGGUAGAGUGCUUGCCUACCAAGUGUGAGGCUCUGGGUUCAAUCCCUAGUACCCCCC
rnacentral:tRNA from 1 species